rnacentral:tRNA from 1 species
UCCCUGAUAGCUUAGUUGGUAAAGAAUCCGCCUGCAACACAGGAGGCCCUGGUUCGAUUCCUGGGUUGGGAA